AUACUAAAUAAAGUUGUGGGUAAUUUUAUUUAUGGGCUAGAUGAUGAAACAUUUAGCAUCACUAAUUUAUUAAGUGGGAAACUAGAGCUAACAAAUAUUCAUCUGAAACAGACGAUUAUUGAUUUGUUAGGUAUACCAUGUAGAUUAAACUUUGGAUGUAUAGGACGUUUUAAAAUAAAUUUACCAUUUUUUUAUUUUAUGAAAAGCUCAAUAAAUGUAUAUAUAGAAGAUAUUAUUAUAGUAGUAUCUACUAUACCUUCAAAAUAUUUUGAUGACAAGUUAUUUAAAGAAAAAUAUAUACAGAAUAAAAAAAANNNNNNNNNNUUUUUUAAGUGUACUUAAAAAACAUACAAGUAACAUACUUAAUAGUAAAGAACAAAAUAAUAUUGAUUCUGUUCAGGAGACAAUAAAUUAUAAUUUUUUAAAAAAAAAUUUUAUUAUAUUAAAUGAAAGCUUACAAACAAAUAUGUUUAAUAAUAUACAAUAUGCUGUUCCAUUGUAUACUUUUAUUAUUUUUAAAAUUAGUUUUAUUGCAAAACUGGAUAAAAAUUAUACCUUUAACAUUUUAUACUCUAUCAAUAGUAUAGACAUAAGAGAUGAAACGAAUAUAUCUUUAUUAAGCAUGAGUUCUAUUUAUAAAAGCGAAACAAAUAAUACAAAAAAGAAAAAAAAUUUUAAUGAUAACAUAUCGAAGCGUAACCAAAAUAACACUCAUUUUAAAAUAAAGAGCCGUAAGAUUAGUGUAUCAGGAAAUGAGUCAAAUGAAUGCGCCAGAAAAGACCUCAAGCAUAGUUCUGAGAAAGACUCUUGUACCCAAACCAAAUCCACCAGUACUAACAAAAAAAAAGAAAAAGAAAAAAUAUAUAAAAAUAAACCUAAACCAUAUAGUGACGUAUUUUAUAAGUCUUAUUUUAAUAAUGAUGUACAAAAUUUAGAAAAAGAUCAUUUCGUUUUAUUAUAUUAUGGUGCAUUAUUAAAAAAUAACCAUACCAUAAAAUUUAUACUUAAUACAACGAAAAUUAAAAUAUAUUGGGAAGUUAUUGAUGAAUUUAUAUCUUGGCUAUUAAACGUAUAUGAAUUCAUACCAAAAAUUAAUAUAAUACAUGAAAAUUUUAUUAAUAAGUUAGACAUUUUCGAAAAUAAUUAUUUAGAAGCAUUUGAAAAAGCACAGUAUAUCAAUUAUGAAUUAUUAUAUACAAAAAAAACAAAAAAAUCCACAAGUAAAUGUACAAACAAAAAUCGUAAUGUUAGUUGUUCAUCCAACAUGGAAUAUAAAAUACCAUUACAUGAUAUAAGAGACUAUUUAUAUGACAUAAAUUUGAAACGGCAAAAAGAUCAUACAAACGGGUAUGACAUUUGUACUGACAGAUAUGAUGACCUAACACAAACCAAACAUAUAGACUUAAGGUAUAAUGAUUAUUUUUUUAUAUUGACAGAUAAAAAAAAAACUGUGCAUAAAAAAAACAACAUAAUAUCCAUAUAUAUAGAAAAGGACAUUAACGAUACUAUAAAAAAUAUAUUACUACAUGAAAACUAUUUUUUUCAAUUAUACCUUCAAACAAAUGAAUAAAAACAAAAAUA
ensembl:lncRNA